rnacentral:rRNA from 1 species
GCAAGUCGUACGGGAACGUUCCCUUCGGGGAGCUAGUACAGUGGCGGACGGGUGAGUAACACGUGAUCAACGUACCCUUAAGACCGGGAUAGCCAUUCGAAAGGAUGGGUAAUACCGGAUAAGCCCACACCAUCGCAUGGUGGAGUGGGAAAAGGUUUAUUCUACUUAGGGAGCGGAUCGCGGGCUAUCAGUUUGUUGGUGGGGUAACGGCCUACCAAGGCGAUGACGGCUAGCCGGCCUGAGAGGGUGAAC